rnacentral:misc_RNA from 1 species
CACGAACUGCGCGAACGUUAUUCGGAAUCACUGGGCUUAAAGAGUCCGUAGGCGGCUUGGUAGGUGGGGUGUGAAAUCCCACGGCUCAACCGUGGAAUUGCGCUCCAAACCACUAGGCUUGAGGGAGAUAGAGGAGAGCGGAACUGAUGGUGGAGCGGUGAAAUGCGUUGAUAUCAUCAGGAACACCGGUGGCGAAAGCGGCUCUCUGGGUCUCUUCUGACGCUGAGGGACGAAAGCUAGGGGAGCGAACGGG